AGAUCACAGCCCCAGCACGGACAACUCCACGUCUCCCGAAUCUCUGUCUCAUCCAUGUUUGGUGAACUAUGGCGGCAAGCCUGAUCAGCCGAUAAUAUGCCAAUAACUGAGGUCCCCGUCAAGACUUCAGCAAUGCGGAGGAUUUGCGUGGGAAAGAUGGAAAUUUUCUCCGGACCGGCUGCCAUCUGGUGGACUACCAUGCUCUGCCGAGGGCUGGUCGAAAAAGUUUCGUGGGACCGAACCGGCCGGGGGCUAUAAUUUGGGCACCUAUACUUUAAAAGAACGAGAAAACAUAAAGUGGAACUCAAAAAUAAAUUGAA